AGUGAACGCUGGCGGUAGGCCUAACACAUGCAAGUCGAACGGCAGCACAGUAAGAGCUUGCUCUUACGGGUGGCGAGUGGCGGACGGGUGAGGAAUACAUCGGAAUCUACUUUUUCGUGGGGGAUAACGUAGGGAAACUUACGCUAAUACCGCAUACGACCUACGGGUGAAAGCAGGGGAUCUUCGGACCUUGCGCGAUUGAAUGAGCCGAUGUCGGAUUAGCUAGUUGGCGGGGUAAAGGCCCACCAAGGCGACGAUCCGUAGCUGGUCUGAGAGGAUGGUCAGCCACACUGGAACUGGGACACGGUCCAGACUCCUACGGGAGGCAGCAGUGGGGAAUAUUGGACAAUGGGCGCAAGCCUGAUCCAGCCAUACCGCGUGGGUGAAGAAGGCCUUCGGGUUGUAAAGCCCUUUUGUUGGGAAAGAAAAGCAGCAGGUUAAUACCCCGCUGUUCUGGCGGUACCCAAAGAAUAAGCACCGGCUAACUUCGUG
rnacentral:rRNA from 1 species